UCCCUGGAGGCUCAGAUGGUAAAGCAUUUGCCUGCAAUGCAGGAGACUCAGAUUCAAUCCCUGGUUCGGGAA
rnacentral:tRNA from 1 species